rnacentral:rRNA from 1 species
AUUGACCGCUGGCGGCAUGCUUAACACAUGCAAGUCGAGCGAGCGGCGGACGGGUGAGUAAUGUAUGGGAAACUGCCUGAUGGCGGGGGAUCACUACUGGAAACGGUAGCUAAUACCGCAUACCCUCAGAUGUGCCCAUAUGGGAUUGGCUAGUCGGUGGGGUAAUGGCUCAACUAGGCUACUAUCCCUAGCUGGUAUGAGAGGAGGACCAGCCACACUGGAACUGAGACACGGUCCAUACUCCGACGGGAGGCAGCAGUGGGGAAGUUUGCACAAUGGGGGCAAUCCUGAUCCAGCUCUGCCGCGUGUGGGAAGAAGGCAUUCGGGUUGUAAAGCACUUUGAGCGAGGAGGCGGUACUCGCAGAAGAAGCACCGGCUAACUCCGUGCCAGCAGCCGCGGUAAUAC